GAUGAACGCUGGCGGCGUGCCUAAUACAUGCCAGUCGAGCGAACAGACGGUGAGCUUGCUCCUCUGACGUUAGCGGCGGAAGGGUGAGUAACAUGUGGAUAACCUACCUAUAAGACUGGGAUAACUUCGUGAAACCGGAGCUAAUACUGUAUUAUAUAUUGAACCGCAUGGUUCAAUAGUGAAAGACGGUUUUGCUGUCACUUAUAGAUGGAUCCUCGCCGCAUUAGCUAGUUGGUAAGGUAACGGCUUACCAAGGCAACGAUGCGUAGCCGACCUGUGAGGGUGAUCGCCCACACUGGAAGUGAGACACGGUCCUGACUCCUACGGGAGGCAGCAGUAGGGAAUCUUCCGCAAUGGGCGGAAGCUUGCCGGAGCGACGCCGCGUGAGUGAUGAAGGUCUUCGGAUCGUAAAACUCUGUUAUUAGGGAAGAACAAAUGUGUAAGUAGCUAUGCACGUCUUGACGGUACCUAAACAAAAAGCCACGGCUAACUACGUG
rnacentral:rRNA from 1 species